UACGUAGGGUGCAAGCGUUGUCCGGAAUUAUUGGGCGUAAAGAGCUCGUAGGCGGUUUGUUGCGUCGGCUGUGAAAUCCCGAGGCUCAACCUCGGGUCUGCAGUCGAUACGAGCAAACUAGAGUGUUGCAGGGGAGACUGGAAUUCCUGGUGUAGCGGUGAAAUGCGCAGAUAUCAGGAGGAACACCGGUGGCGAAGGCGGGUCUCUGGGCAGCAACUGACGCUGAGGAGCGAAAGCGUGUGGAGCGAACAGG
rnacentral:rRNA from 1 species